rnacentral:rRNA from 1 species
AUUGAACGCUGGCGGCGUGCUUAACACAUGCAAGUCGUGCGGUAACAGGCGUAGCAAUACGUGCUGACGAGCGGCGAACGGGUGCGUAAUACAUGGGAAUCUGCCUUUUAGUGGGGAAUAACCCGGCGAAAGCCGGGCUAAUGCCGCAUAAGAUCUUCGGAUGAAAGCGGGGGAUCGUAAGACCUCGCGCUGAUAGAUGAGCCCAUGCCGGAUUAGCUAGUUGGGAGGUAACGGCUCACCAAGGCGACGAUCCGUAGCUGGUCUGAGAGGACGGCCAGCCACACUGGGACUGAGACACGGCCCAGACUCCUACGGGAGGCAGCAGUGGGGAAUAUUGGACAAUGGGGGAAACCCUGAUCCAGCGACGCCGCGUGUGUGAAGAAGGCCUGCGGGUUGUAAAGCACUUUCGGUGGGAACGAAAU